rnacentral:rRNA from 1 species
UGGCUCAAUAAAUCAGUUAUGGUUCCUUAGAUCGUACUAUAUCCUACUUGGAUAACUGUGGUAAUUCUAGAGCUAAUACAUGCACAAUAGCCCCAACUUCACGGAAGGGGUGCUUUUAUUAGAUCAAGACCAAUCGGGCUUCGGCUCGUCUCUUGGUGACUCUGAAUAACUAUAGCCGAUCGCACGGUCUCGCACCGGCGACGUGUCUUUCAAAUGUCUGCCUUAUCAACUUUCGAUGGUAGGCUAUGCGCCUACCAUGGUUGCAACGGGUAACGGGGAAUCGGGGUUCGAUUCCGGAGAGGGAGCCUGAGAAACGGCUACCACAUCCAAGGAAGGCAGCAGGCGCGCAAAUUACCCACUCCCAGCACGGGGAGGUAGUGACGAAAAAUAACGAUGCAGGACUCAUCCGAGGCCCUGUGAUUGGAAUGAGUACACUUUAAAUCCUUUAACGAGGAUCCAUUGGAGAAAUUUCUUCUUCGGGACCUCGUUCGGAAACCGGGGGGGGGGAGAGGCGGAAAGGCUCGGAGGCUGGGGUGAAUGGGUGCCUCUUAGC